GCCCUUGGAAGGGAUGUAUUUAUUAGAUUAAAAACCAAUGCCCUUCGGGGCGCACUGGUGAUUCAUGAUAACUCCUCGAAUCGCAUGGCCUUGUGCCGGCGAUGGUUCAUUCAAAUUUCUUCCCUAUCAACUUUCGAUGUUUGGGUAUUGGCCAAACAUGGUUGCAACGGGUAACGGAGGGUUAGGGCUCGACCCCGGAGAAGGAGCCUGAGAAACGGCUACUACAUCCAAGGAAGGCAGCAGGCGCGCAAAUUACCCAAUCCCGACACGGGGAGGUAGUGACAAUAAAUACUGAUACAGGGCUCUUUUGGGUCUUGUAAUUGGAAUGAGUACAAUUUAAAUCCCUUAACGAGGAACAAUUGGAGGGCAAGUCUGGUGCCAGCAGCCGCGGUAAUUCCAGCUCCAAUAGCGUAUAUUAAAGUUGUUGUGGUUAAAAAGCUCGUAGUUGAACCUUGGGCCUGGCUGGCCGGUCCGCCUCACCGCGUGUACUGGUCCGGCCGGGCCUUUCCCUCUGUGGAACCCCAUGCCCUUCACUGGGUGUGGCGGGGAACCAGGACUUUUACAAGGGC
rnacentral:rRNA from 1 species